rnacentral:lncRNA from 1 species
CGGCAUUGCCAUGAACUGUGGUGUAGGUCACAGACACAGCUCAGAUCUGGUGUUGCUUUGUCUAUGGGGUAGGCCAGAAGCUGCAGCUCUGAUUUGACCCCUAGUCUUGGAACUUCCACAUGCCACAGGUGUGGCCCUAAAAAAGGCCAAAAAAAAAAAUGCACUAAUUUAAGUACCAACCUCUCAAGAUACAGAACAUUUCAUCAUCUCAAAGAGUUCCCUUGAGACCCUUUCCAGUCAAAACUAUACCAAGGUCCACCUUCAUGCAACCACUAGGCUGCUGUCAGGAGAGGUUAGAUCAUUAUUUUCUGGAGUUCAAAGGAGUCAUGUGUAUUUAAUGUAUUCUUUUCUGUUUGGUUUGCCUCCUAGACACUUGCUCAAGUCACUUUUUUCCCAGUAGCUUUUUAUCAAAAUUCUUUAGAAAUUUCUACAUAAGAUGAUCAUACCAUUUGUAAAGACAAUUUUACUACUUUACUUCUAACUGAAUGCCUUUUAUCUCUAUCUAGACAUUAUUUCUUUAGCUGGAAGCUCCAGAAUAAUGCUGAGUAGAAAUUUUAAGACUGAACAUCUUGGAUUGUUCCUUAUGUCAGAAGGAAGUAUCUAGUCUUUCAGCAUAUGCAUGAAGUUAUUUCUAUAGAGUAUCCAUCAAUGGAUCAUAGGAAUCUGACCUUAUCCAGUUGUGGGAGCUAGAUAAGCAGUGCCUUUAAGUUUUUGUAUCUGAUUCUAGAUUUUAAGUCAACAGGGCAGGAAGUUCAAGAAGGAAGAUAGAUAUAACAUGGGGUGACUGUGGACAAGAUGGAACCCGCAGACAUGAGCUGGAAGCUGUGGGACUAGGUCAUGUGCAUUAGCCUUGUUCUCAACUUCAGGGCUGUAUGUGUCUUGCAGAAGCAGCUGGUGCCCUCUGUUACCGAGCUAAACAGACAUCUGGCCCCAAAGUCAAAGAAAAUCAAAGACGAUCCAGUGGAAGGAGAACAACUACAGGUCUGGUUGGUGUCCCAUUCACAGAAAGACUCAAAUUCCCUCUAGCUUUCACGUAUCCCACACAUUUGGAUAAAGUGUGUUUCAUUUUCAUUUCAUUCAGUUUUACUUGCUCCUGUGAUUUCUUCUUUGACCAUUUGAGAAGUUUCUUUUUUAAUCUCCAAGUAUUUGGGAGUUUUCCAGCUAUCUGUUACUGAUUUCUCAUUUAAUUCCAUCUUGUGCAGAGAGCAGAUAUGGUAUGGCUUCUGAUCUUGCGCAUUAGUGAAGGUGUGUUCUGGCCCAGAAUGAGGUCAGUCUUGGUGCACGUUCCCCGUGAGCUUGAGAAGAAUGUGAAAUCUAGAGUUGGAUGAAGCCCUCUGUAGACUACAUUCCAACCAUUUGCUGGAUGGUGUGUUGAGUUUACGAUGUCCUUACUCAUCUUCCGCCUGCUGGAUCUGUCCGUGUCUGAGACAGGAGUGCCGAAGUCUCCAACUCUAACCGUAGAUUCAUCUCUUUUUCCUUGCAGCUCUGUCCAUUUUUGCCUCACGUAGUUUGAUGUUCUGUUGUGGGCGCAUACACAUGGAAAAUUGCUAUCUUCUUUAUCAUGUGAUAUCACUUCGUCCCCAUCACUUCCCUCGCUUUGAAGUAUGCUCUGCCUGAAAUUAAUAUAGCUACUCCUGCCUUCUUUUGAUUAGUAUAACUUUCUCUAUCCAUUUACUUUUCCCCUGCAUAUAAUCGAAUUUAUAUUUAAAAUGGGUUUGUUACAGACAACAUAUAGUCAAAUAUUGCUUUUUGACCCAGUCUGACAGUUUGUCUUUUGAAGAAUGUGUUUAGACCAUUGACAUUUAAAGUCAUUAUGAGAUAGUUGGAUAACAUGUACCGUAUUUGUUACUCUUUUCUAUGUGUUAUCCUAUACUGUGUUCCUGUUUGGGGCUUCCAUUCUUUCUCUUUCUUCUGUGGUUUUAACUGAGAAUUUUAUAUCAUUUCAUCUUUUCAGUUAUACUACUUCUUUUUUUUAACUUUAGAGGGUGCCUUUGAGUUUCCAAUAUACAUUUACAAAACCCAUUUCCACUUUCAGAUAACUCUAUGCACUUCACAAGUAGUGUACCUUAUAAUGACAAAAUAACCUUAAUUCUUCCUCCCUUUCCUUUGUCUUGGUGAUAUAAUUCAUUUCAUUUAUACAUAACUAUACACAACAUAUGCAUAUAAGCAUAUAUCGUCAAAUAUAUUGUUGGCAUUAUUUUGAACACAUUACCUUUUACCGUAAAUUGAUUUAGGUAAAUCAAGUUUUCAUUUUGCCAUCAAUGAUUCCUCCUCUGAUGCUUUUCCUUUCUGAUCUGAUUUUUUACUUUUCUCUGUAGAGCAUCCUUUACCAUUUCUUACAAAGCAGGUAUACUGGCAACGAAUUCACUCCGUUUCUGUUUGUCUGGGAAAGUAUUUCUUACUCUCCUUUGAAGGAUCGUUUCACAGGGAAUAGAAUUCUAGGGUGUUGGUUACGUUUUCUUUCACCAUCUUACUAUUUCACUCCCUCUCCUCUUACUUGUGUAGUUUCUAAGAAGCUUGAUAUAAUUUUUUCUUUUUCGUCUUCUCCAGAUGGCCUUUUUUACAAGAUUUUUCUUUAUAUUAGAUUAUCUGAAGUUUGUAGGUGUUCUGCCUUGGUGUAAAAAAAUUUUUUUUACAUGUAUCCUUCUUGGUGUCCCCUGAACUUCCUGAAUCUGUGGUUUGGUGUAUGACAAUAAUUUAUGGAAAAUUUCAGGCAUUAUUGAUUCAAAAACUUCCUCUGUUCCUAUCUUACGUCUUCUAGUGUUCCCAUUAUACAUAUGUUAAAACUUUUGCAUUUCUAUCAAAGUUUUUGUGUAUCGCUUCUUUUUCUUUGUUGUUUAUUUUUCCUCUUGGCUUUUAAGUUUUGAAAGCGUCUGUUCAAGUUCAGAGGCUCUUUACUCAGUUUUGUCCAGUCUGAUAAUGAUCCCAUAGAAGACAUUCUUCAUUUCUAGUAGUUACUGGUUUUCCGCAUCUUUUUGAUUCUUUCUUUGAAUUUCCAUCUCUCUGCUUACAUCGUCCACCUGUUCUUGCAUGCUUUCUCUUCUAUCCAUUAACACCCUUAGCAUAUGAAUCACUGUUCUUUGGAAUUCCCCAUCUGAUGAAUCUAACAUCUCUGAUACACCUGGUCUCGUUCUAUUGCUUGCUCUGUUUCUUCAAACAGUGUUUUUUACCUUUUAGUAUUCCUUGAAAUUUUUUCUUCAUAUCCAGGCAUGAGGUACUAGGUAAAACGUAUCCAGAGCUGGUUCCAGCAUAGGUUUAUGCUUGUGGAUUUCUAUUCUGUUAAGUUGUGAUUUUCUAUUUACAUGUAUCUUCAAUUUUGGUGCAGCAUUUUGCUCUGUGACUUCACCUCUCAGACAGAUCUAAGGUGAGUUAUUGAUUUUUUUUUUUUGGUUUGUUCAUUUUUCGUAACUUACUGUUAAAACAAAGUAAAGACUUCCAAGCUCCUAACAAGUAGGACUGGAAAUUGAACUCUUUAUUACAAGGUAUUAAAAAAUAAUUCAGAGGCCAUACUCUAACAAGGAAAUUUUUCUAAAAUCUGAGAUUAAAAAAAAAUCAGUGAUUUUAUAUCAUUCUUCAAGAGCAGUUUAGUUCAACAUUUUGACUCUCCCAUCCCUCCUAAACAAAAAUUCAUUAAUAUGUUUACCCCCACAAAGGCAUAGAGUGAAAUUGCUGUUGGAGCUAGGGAAUGGAUAUGUAUAGCCUUUUUAAGCUACAAAUGUUUCUUGGAGGUCCUACUAUGACACAGUCUUUUAAGAACCAGACUGCAGUGGCACCAAUUUGAUCUCUGCCCCAGUGCAGUUGAUUCAAGGAUCCAGUGUUGCUGUAGCUAUGGUGUAGUUUGCAGUUGCAGCCUGGAUUCAGUCCCUAGCCCAGCAAUUUCCAUAUCCUGUGGGUGCAUUAAAAAGAUGUUCCUUUUCGCUAUGACCAUAAAUAACAACAAAAAGUCAACAGUGGCCUUAAUCAUGAACAUCCCUAUUUUAUGGGCAUUACUGGAAUAAAUAUUGAACUUCAAUAUAUCUUGACUUGUUAAACUUUUCAGUUGAAGAACUAUUGCAUUUAGUGAUUAAAAUUAGAUUCAAAUUAAAAUUAGAAUUUUUCCUUUUUCCUGAUAACACUGUAUAACACAUGCUUCUCAAAAUUCUAUUAAAGUCAUCAGUGAAGGAACCAUUGAGACUACAAGAGAGCUCACUUAAUUGAGAAACAAGGAGAUUGGUUAGUCAAGAAAGAAAUGGUGGAGUAAGAACACCAUGAGCUCACCUCCUGCUACAGGCACAGUGAAAUUAGAACUAUUUAUGGAGGAACUGAGCAGUAAAGAUCUUCUUCAACUAAAGAUGCAAAGGCAGGUAGGAGGGGUGGAGUCACAGUAUAGUCAAGACCCACAUGCCUGGAUGGGCAAUGCAGAAAUGGGAGGAUAAUUGCUACUGCAGGGGUUCUCCCCAAAGAGCAACAGUCCAAGCCCCACAUUGAGCUCCCCAGCCCCAGGGUCCUGCACCAGGAAGAUGAGCCCUAGAACAUUUGACUUUGAAGGCCAUUAGGGCUCAUUUUUAGGAGAGCCAGAGGGCAGUGGGAAAUAGCCCAUUCCCAGAGGGCACACACAAAAUCUCACAGACUCUGGGACCCAGGGCAGAAGCAGUAAUUAGAAAGGAGCCUGGGUCAGACCCCACCUGCUGAUCUUGGAGAGUUUUCUGGAAAGGAAAGAGGUAAUCAGAGCUCACCCUGUGGACACAGACUCUGACAGCAACCAUUUGGGGGACUUUGUUCAACCAUGUGGACACUGGAGCUGGCAAGUGCUGUUUUAAAAUCCUCUUAACUAACUCCCAAGCACUGAGACUCAGUCCCAUACACCAGCCUAUCAGCUCCAGUACCAUGACACCUCAUGCCAAGUAACUAGCCAGGCCAGGUCACAGUCUCACCCACCAGCAGGCACGCUGCCUUAAGAACCUCUGAGCUCACAUCCACCCCGGGACAGAGCCCUAUCCACCAGAGGACCCCAGCCCAGCUGACUAGAAGCCCAACACCAACUCUGGUAACUUGAACUCCUGAGAGAGCUACCCUGGGACCCAGUUCCACUCACCACAGACCCCACAGCCAGCUGUGUCAGGAACCAGCCCUGUUCAACAGGACAGCAACAGCUCCAGGGCUGUGCAGCCCUAGAUCAUGGGACUUGAGUCCACCCACCAAUGAACCAGGUGCUUUGUGACCCAGUCCUGCCAACCAGCAGCUAGUGGCCUCCACACUAAUCAAGACCUAGAAGCCAACUAGACCAGGGACCAGCUGUGCCUACCAGACCACCUACAGUAGUCAGUCUGCCACAACAGAGGCACCUGCCAUGUAGGAGACACCCCUAAAGCAUAAAGCUCUCAUGAUCAGAGGGGCGCAUCCUUCUGAGCCACAUAGGACAUUUCCUACCUAGCCCACUCCUCCAAGAUCAUGAAACAAAACUGGCCUACCUAAUACAUUUAAAUAAAAACAGAAAAUUUGGCAAAAUGAGGUGACAGAGGAAUGUGUUCCAAACAAAGGAACAUGAUAAAAACCCCCUAAGAAGAACAAAGGGAGGUGGAGAUAAGCAAUCUAUCUGGUGAAGAGUUCAGGGCAGUGAUUAUAAAGAUGCUCAAAGAACUCAGGAGAAGAAGGAAUGGUCACAGUGCAAAACUUAACAAAGAGGUAGAAAAUACAGUUGAAUACAAUAACUGAAAUAAAAAAUACACCAUAAGGAAUCAAAAGGAGAUUAAAUAAUGCAGAGGAAUGAGUCAGUGAGCUGGGAGACAGAAUAGUGGAAAUCACUCAAGCUGAACAGAAAAAAAGAAUAAAGAGAAAUGAGGACAGUUAAGAGACCUCUGGAAUAACAUUAAGCAUAAUAAAAUUCAUGUUAUUAGAAUAUGAGGAGGAGAAGAAUAAGAAAAAGAGGCAGAGAACAUAUUUGAAGACACAGCAGCUGAAAACUUCCCUGAGAAAGGAAACAUAUCCAGGUUCAGGAAUCACUGAGUUCCAAAUAGGAUUAACUCAAAGACGUCCAUACCAAGAUACAUUGUAAUUAAAAUGGCAAAAAUUAAAGAGAAUAUUAAAAGUAGCAAGAGAAAAGCAACAAGUUGCAUACAAGAGAUCUCCCCUAGGGCUAUCCGCUGACUUUUCCCAGAAACUCUGCAGACCAGAAGGGAGUAGCAUGAUAUAUUUAAAGAGACAAAAGGGAAAAACCAGCAACCAAGAAUACUCUACCUGACACAGCUUUCACUUAGAGUUGAUGGAGAAAUCAAAAGUUGUACACACAAGCAAAAGCUAAAAGAGUUCAGAACCAUCAAGCCAGCUUUAUAAGAAAUGUUGGGGGGUGUUCCCAUAGUGGCUCAGCAAGUUACAAACCCAAAUAUUAUUCAUGAGGAUGUGGGUUAAAUCCCUGGCCUUGCUUAGUGGGUUAAGGAUUGCCGUGAUUCAUGGUGUAGGUUGAUCCUGUGUUGCUGUGGCAUAGGCCAGCAGCUAUAUCUGAUUCAACCCCUAGCCUGGUAACUUCCAUGUGCCACAGAUGCAGCCCUAAAAAGAAAAAAGAAAAGAAAAAAAAAAAAAG